CACGGCGUCUUCACCGGCGAUUGGAUCUGGAGCUCUCGUCCCUGGUUCAGAUGUCAGAUGAUGAAGACGAUGGUUGAUCGCAAUGGUGACACCCAGAGCUAGAAGGCCACGAGGAGUUCAAUAUGAGAUCAACGAUGCUAUGAAGAAUAUCUGCUAUUGCCGGCGUGUUGUCUUUGUAGCAGCUCAUUGAGAAGUUAGGCUUUAACAAUGUGACUGAUAAGCCGGUUACACUUAAAAUGAUGAGAGAUGUAUGUGAAUCUUUUCUUGAAUCCUCUGAAAGGAAGCAAAGCUAGCACAUAGUGGGGGUGAUAUCUUGAAGAGUUACAGAGUGGCCGUGCAGAGGCAGCUUGGGUAGGUUAACAAGGGAUUGCAUUGGAAUUAUUUCUGAUUAAGUAUUAGCUCUGGAUUACCACUGUUGUUGGUGUUAGUCCAGCUGUACUGGUGCCAUAACUACACUAUCUGGGUUGGCACUUCAGUUGAAUUCUGGAUUUAUUCUUUUGGUUUGGUUCUCUCGUUAUGAUUGUCUUCUACUGUAUGACCUGGUAUAUCAUAGUUCAAAACAUGUUGGACCUGUUUUUUUGCGAUACUCAGUGAGGAACAUGUGCAUGUGUGGGACUUGAUAAAGCUUGGAGAUUAUCUUAGUGCAAGGGACGAUGUUGAUCCCUCUAGGAUAGGGAUUAGUGGUGAAUCACUCAGAGGUAUCAUAGAUCAUGAUUGCAUCAUGAUACUGAAUUAUUACAUAGAUUUCACUUUUAGAAAAUUUAUCCUUUUUAUUUGUAGCUGAAUACAGGAAUGCAUGCAUGGUUUGCUGCUAUUGUGGAUACACGGCUCAGUAUUGUUGUUCCAAUAAUUGGUGUUCUGGGAUUUCAACGGGCAAUAGAUAAUGACAUGUGACAAGCUAGAGUUGAUAGCAUUAAGCCUUUAUUUGAAGAAGCAAGAAUUGAUUCAGGGAAGAGUGAAAUAGAUGCAGAGGUUGUAAAAAAGGUUUGGGACAAGAUAGCACCUGCUAUGGCUUCAUAGUUUGAUGCUCCCUACUCAGUUCCUCUGAUUGCACCACGUCCACUCCUCCUAAAUGGUGCUGACGACCCUCAUUGCCCAGUCCUUGGUCUACAAGAACCUGCCUCCAAAGUUGUUGAGGCUUAAGCAGAAGCUGGUUCUGUGGAUAAGUUCAAGGAUCCAAAGAACUAGCUCGACUGGACUCUAGAUCACGGACAAUUUAGUCUUGGCACUUAAUUAGGAUGGCGAAAUUACAUUUGAUGGAUAUUUGCUAUCAGAAUUAUGUAUUUUAUGAAUCUACAUAUUAUACGCAUGGUUUUGAAUAUUGUAAUUGAAGGCCUGUAUUUUUUUUAGGCUGCAAUAGGCUAUUGGCACAAUCCACUUUUGGUUGCCACAUGUUAGCACCACGGAAACUUAAAUUGUCGCAAUAGUU